rnacentral:rRNA from 1 species
GACGAACGCUGGCGGCGUGCUUAACACAUGCAAGUCGAACGGAAAAGCCCAGCUUGUGGGGGGUGCUCGAGUGGAACAGGGGUGUGUCACACGAGAGUCACCUGCCCUAGACUGGGGUAUAACUGGGGGAAAGUGGGGCUAAUACGGGAUGGGAGCUCAUGGUGCGUGGGGGGUGGGGGAGAGUUUCGGCGGUUGGGGAUGGACUCGCGGCUUAUCAGCUUGUUGGUGGGGUAGUGGCUUACCAAGGCUUUGACGGGUAGCCGGCCUGAGAGGGUGACCGGCCACAUUGGGACUGAGAUACGGCCCAGACUCCUACGGGAGGCAGCAGUGGGGAAUAUUGCACAAUGGGCGGAAGCCUGAUGCAGCAACGCCGCGUGCGGGAUGACGGCCUUCGGGUUGUAAACCGCUUUCGCUAGUGACGAAGCGAGAGUGACGGUACCGGCUAAAGAAGCACCGGCUAACUACGUG